CCUACGGGUGGCUGCAGUAGGGAAUAUUGCUCAAUGGGGGAAACCCUGAAGCAGCAACGCCGCGUGGAGGAUGACGGUUUUAGGAUUGUAAACUCCUUUUGUUAGAGGAGUUUAUGACGGUAUCUAACGAAUAAGCACUGUCUAAUUCCGUGCCAGCAGCCGCGGUAAUACGGAGGGUGCCAGCGUUACUCGGAAUAACUGGGCGUAAAGCGUGCGUAGGCGGGGUAAUAAGUCAGAUGUGAAAGCCUGUAGCUUAACUACAGAACUGCAUUUGAAACUGUUACUCUGGAGUGUAGGAGAGGUAGGUGGAAUUCGUGGUGUAGGGGUAAAAUCCUUAGAGAUCAAGAAGAAUACUGAUUGCGAAGGCGACCUGCUGGAACGUUACUGACGCUGAUGCACGAAAGCGUGGGGAGCAAACAGGAUUAGAUACCCCAGUAGUC
rnacentral:rRNA from 1 species